GGCCGGGCCGGGCGGAGGCGGCGGGUGCGGCGACGGGGCAGCGCGGGGGGCUUCUCCUCACGGCGCCGCUCCGCUGGGGAAAGCAACCGCCGCUCUCGCGGGGUGACGGGGUUCGGCCGGUACCGAACGUCCACACACACACACGCACGCACCUCCCUGAGGUAAAAUAUCCCCCACACACACACCCCAGCGGAGCCUCCCUGAGGUAAAACCAGGGAAAAGGAAAAGGAAACCGGGGUUCAGCCGCCCCCGACCCUCACAGCGGCUCGCGGUGCAGCCGGUGCCGAGCGCUCCGCUCGCCCCGUUCCCCUCAGGGCGCGGCGCCAACGGCCACAGCGGGGGGAUCGCGCCUGAGGCGGCGGCCGCAGCGCCCCGAGCCCGGACCGAGCCCCCCAGCACCUGAGGGGAGCCCCCCGGUCCCACCGGCACCCCCGGCCCCGCUCCGAGCCUCCCAGCGCCACCAGCCCGCGCUCGGCUGAGGGAGACCCGCGAAGAGCUGUCAGCAGCGGCCGCCUGCCGAGCGGCUCCGCGGUUUCUCCGAGUUUUUCAGAAAACUCCGUCCUGCACUUGCUGAGUGCGGGCACGUGAAGCAGUUUAACCCUUGCUGGGGUUUAAGUUAUCACUCGGUUACCCGCUCAAGCACGCUCGUUACAGGCAGAGGGUAGAACUAAUUGGAACAUGUCUCAUUAGGUAAUGCAGUGGAAGCUCCUAGGAAGAAUGUUACUUUUUUUUUAAAGAAAAAAAAAAAAGGUAUUUAAGUAUACUUGCAUGAACUAAGGACUAUCAUUGUAUUAAUUUGUAUUUCAGUAAUUACAUAAGAACCAGAUGUGAAAACUGCACAUUGCUUUUUAUGCUCAUUUUAAAGCUUAAGCAGUCCCUAGCUAGAAAUAGUAAUCAUAAAGAAAUCCUAAAAUAAGUUGCAUAUAAAACAUCUACAGUUUUCCACAAAUACUGAAUAAUUUAUUUUAUCCAACUAGCAGACAUAAUGCAAUGACAAUAAAUAAAUAGCAACACACUAUCAUAGAUUUCCUUUGACCUAAAACACUAACUGAAAAUGAAAUACCUGGCAGCUAAGCAAAAAACAAGGCAAUUAAAUAUGACUCUCCAAUGAAAAGCAAAGUACAGAAGACAUUCUGAACUAUAAAGAAAGAAUGCUCAAGUUUAAACUUAUCCUUAAUUGACCUUUGCAUUUCUAACCCCACUACAGGCUUCAGAAAAGCGCAGAACACACAGAAUGGACAAUAACAUUUAGAUACAAAUAGGACAGCAUGCAUUAAGACAAGUUUUUGGCCUGAAGCUCUUGGCUUCAUCGGCUUUUAUUAUUUUACCGAUAAAACAGAUUUUGUAGCAGAAUUUGAUUAGUCUUCAAAAAAUACCUAAAUUAAUUUGCUAGUGAGAUGAGAAGUGUGAUUUGAAAGCACGGAUAUUCCAAAUCAAUUUGACAUCAGCACCAACUUCUGUCAAGGUGAUAAUAGGAAAAGUAUAGAACUUUUCUGAGGCAGGAGUUUAAACAGACUGAUAGAUAUUUCUAUUUUACCUUCUUUUCAGUUAGGACAUGUAGGUAUAUUUUAAGUUUUGCCAUUUUUGUAGCAUUUACCAAAAUGCUUACAUUACAUUUGUAGACAUCAGUACUUUGCUAUGACAGUUGUCAGUUUAAAAUUGGUAUCCUGUUUUGCAUAAUGACCAAAAGGCUUUGACAGCUCUCAGUAAAAGAUCAGUAAGCGUAAAUUUAGUUCUGGAGAGAAGUGCUAUUUUCUUCUUUAAUGCUAAAAAUAAUAAAUAAAUACAUUUAUACUAAAUUUUAACAUACAGAAGAUGAACCAUUAUCUGCUAUGUUGUUUGUCUGGUUUAUUAAAUGAACAAACAACAUGAUAGACAAGCAUAAUCCAGUCCAUCUCUACUUUAAAGUUGAGAAAGUGUAUGGUAUCUGUUCUAAAAAGUGAAAUUUAAUGAACCGGAAGGAAGCUGAAAUGUAAAAGAAAUACAGAGAUUUGAAUUCCCGGUGUUUUUUGUUUGUUUUUACAAACUGAUUAAAAUAGUUCUUUGGAGUAUCAAAGAAAUGCCUCUAACGCUAUGUUUUUGCGAUCUCAAAAUAGUUAAGCUCUACUAAACUGAAAGAAGUUUGUACAACAGUUUUAAUAUAUCAGCUGUCUGGAUAGGAAAUAUAAGCUGAUUUCAAUAUUCAGUCAAAACUACUGGAUUAAGAUUAUGUAUUAAGGGAGGAGAUCCAACAAUUUGAUCUAUGUAGCUACAGGCAGGGGUCUCUUGUUAGAGUAUCUAACUCAGAUUUAUGAAGCCUAAUUAUUUAACUUGCUAUUUUUGUUUCCAAGUUCUAUGCAGCAUUUAACAGGUUUUUACAAAUUUCAGUAUUUAUUUUUGUGGUUUAAAAUUUCUCAGAGUCAAAAAAAAAAGACUUUCAGUAGUUUAUUUAAACAUGAGUUGUCUUCUGAACAGGUGCCUAAUAUUGUCUCCUGUUCCAACAGUUCAACCUUUUUUUUUUUUAGUAAGGAGGUAUAUUAUAAAAAGGCAAGUGUAAUAUAAAAGAGCUAAAAGUUGAAAACAAGUAUAGUACAGAGGCUGAUUUGUAUAAUAUAAUGGCUGAUAUUACAUAUAUGAGUUUUCUGUUUUAGUUUUAUGGAGCGCAUAUUUAUUUGAAAAAAUAGAUCUUCACAGCAAUAGCCAGUAGUAGCAGUGAACAUAUGAUGUCAUUCCACACUCCAGCCUCACUGGAAGAUUACUUACUUGCCUUCCCCCAAAAAAAAACUGAAUCCAGAGUCAAGCUAGGAUUAGAAAUCCCAGUACAUUUGACUCUUUACAUAUAUGCAUCUUCUCUGGCCCUACUUCUCUUGUGCCUACUUAGAACUGUAGCAGAUUUUAAAAGUAGAAUAUGUUAAGGGUAAAACAUUUUUCUCACUUGUCAACCAUUUAAAAAGAGUUUUUACAGAAGAUGCUACCAUGUUUUCAUAAACUGAGGAAUAGGCUGUGUACACUAGAUUAUAUACUAACUUGUUUAUCCAUAAAUAUUUGCAAUUGGUUAUUUUUUUCCACUCAGCCUACUUUAUACCCAGUUUCUACUAUUGUAGAGCUCACUCAUCAACUAAUUAUAUAGCAAAUUUGAUAAGGUGUUUUUGGUCUUUUAGCUUUGUUAUGGUUGACUACUCUGAACUGAUAAAAAAAGUAUUACUGCCCACCCCUGUUUUCAGUAAUCACAUAUUAUGAAAUAGCAGUUUGGGAAAUUCCCAUCCUUUGUUUUCUUUCCAUAAUUUACUCUUUGGAAAAGUAUAGGUGGUUCUUUUGUUCUAUGGUAAGAGAUGAUGGAUUCUGUAAGCAUAUUCCUGGUUUACAUUUGCUAAUGAUUCUUCUGUUCAAAUUUGAUUCUCAGCUAUCUUUUUGUGCUUGUUUAUGUUUCAUAUCAUUACAAAUAGCUAAAUUCUUUUAAGUCAUCGUGGUCAACUAACUGGAGUUUGGAUUAAAAUGAAGUAAGUGCAGGCAAAUAUGACACUAGAUGUUCUUCAUUUUAUGAAGUUUCACGCUACAGUAGUAAGUAGGCACAUUGUAGAAAUUACCUUAACAACAUAAAGAUUUCAAUCAUAAAUGAACUGGUGUCAGUCAUAGUAAAUUUCACCUUAUCUGAUGAUGUCAGCUACCUGUUAUAAAAGAAAUAAUGGACCUGUUAAACAUGUAAAGCAUUCAGAUACCACACUACAAAGCUGGUACAAAACACCUGUGAUAACUUCUGGCAGUUUCUGAAAGACAAUUUAAUGUCUCAUAGCUCUGGUAUCUCAAAGAAUGAUGUGGUAUAUUCACUCAGUUAUUUUAGGCAUUCACAGUUUAGAUGCAACAGGUACAAAGCUUGUCUGAAGUUCUUAUUGAAUCAUAACUUGAAGUAGUGACCAAGUGAAUCACUGUUCCUCACUUCUUGUCUCUAUCAGGAGAAAGUGCUUUGUCAUACCCACACACACAUUUUUUUGUUUGUUCCUGUAGUGAAUGGGAAGGUACAUGUACUGCAUGACCAAUUCUUUUGUUACUUAUUUUUUGUAAGCACCUUUAAUUUACACUUUGGAAUACAAAAUAGAGCAGAGAAGGGAUAAUACAACACCUGAUCUUCUAUUUCUGUUCCCACUCAACAUAUAGAGGGUAGAAGCAAUCCUUUAGAUUCCAAAGCUGCAUAAUUUUAUAUCUCAAAAAAAAUCACUGAUAAAAUAGGAAGCUCAGAAGCAUUAAACAUGAGCAUUUUUUCCACCAUAAAGCCCAUGACAGCUAGUCUCAUGAACAGUACCUUAUGAGAAAUGUCUAGUAAAGCAGCCUAACAAAACUACCUGUCCUUAACAUUCAGAACAGAAACACAGAAGAUGACAACAAGAUAUGAAGUUCCAACACUUUGUUGCAAGUGCCCAUACUUAAAAUUGGAUAAAGGAUUACCAUCUGAUCAAUGGGUUUCACAUUUUACAACUACAUGAAGGAAGUCACAAGACAGCAUUACCUAGUGUAAAAUAAAGUUAACAAAACAAGACAGGCUGAAAUGAACAAUAGUUCUGUCAUUUCACAGGCUCUGAGCACAAGACUGUGGUUUUAUAGUGUGCUGCCUUCAUUAACAACAUUGUCUUAAGAUACUACAGUCCUGCUCUCUGCUCUGCCGAUUUGUUCUCCUUUUUCAGAUCACGUGAAUGAUUGGCACGUGGCUGCUGCCACCUCAGGGGUCUGGGAUCUGUGAGCUGGGACACUGACACCAGAUGGGACACGCCUGGCCAGAUUGUCUCCUGGAUUUGGACCUCUAUUACAACAUGAAUUACCUUCUUGAGCCUUUUGAUAAAAGAGGAAAAACAUGAAGAAUGCUAGGUGGAAGGAUGCUUUAACCUUUGGACGCAGCUUCCUCUGACGCGUAACACUGAAGAGCCAUACUAGUUGCAGUCUGGAAGAGGCAUGGAAGAACGAGAGUCUGGAGCAAGACAGACAUCCUUUGUUCACAGCUGGGAAACAGGUUACCCUUGAAAAAAGUUUUUUAAAAAAGUAUUCACUGCUAUGAUUUGAUGCUGACAUGUAUGAUGUGGAGUACUACAGAUAACAAGGAAGGUGAGAAACAAGAUCCUAUGUCAGAUGGGUUUAUAAAAUAGAGAAGCCUCUUUUAUUCCCCUUUCCUAAACCUUGUUGAGUGUUGAAUCAAAGGAUCAACUAAUAGUUUAAAACCUUCAAAAGGGAACAGCCAGGAGUCAAAGCCAUCAAGGUACGUUACCACGUGCAGGAAAAGAGGGAACAGUGAUAUAUGGAGUGAAUACAUCGGGAGGUAUGGAUGGCUGUGAUUUGAACUGAGUCCCGGGUGAUGUUCUCUUACACCACUAGCACACAUCUGGGGAGCUGUCUUCACAUCGUUAUUGGCUAACUUUGGAAGCUGGUUAGAUCUGCCUGGGGUCUGUAAUAUACAUCUGCACCUCUACAGCCAGACAGCGUUACUUUCUGUCUCUUACUUGAGUAUAUAAUACUAGUAAUAUUGGUAGGAGGAACGUCAUGAAGGCACGCAGAACCUAUUGAUUGAUCACAGGUCCAGCUGAUCGGUCAGGAUGGGUUAAUAUCUUAAAAAGACUAUUUAGUUUAUGGUAGGAUGCUAUACUUCAAUUAGUUUUAAGCCAAGAGAGCCAAAUAUCUUGAAAAGGUGUAUGGGGUCUACACAAAGUUUCUAGGUUAAAGGUAAAGUGUAUUACAAGCAAAUCAUAUUAGUUUUGCUGUCUAAGAAUUGGAGGGGUAUAUAGGGAAAAAAAAUUAAGAUCCCCUCCAAAAAAAACAAAACAACAACAAAACCUACAACCUCUUGUGUUUUAGAUCCUGAUAUUCCACAGACAGGCACAGACAUUUCAGAAGGAGUGGGGCUGGGAAACGUGCAGUCGAGGCAAAGCCACUCCUCAGUAAUGUGUCUUCCAGACAUUUCUGCAGAAGAUGCAGGAAGUAAAUUAGUUGUGACUUAGCUUUGAGAGAACACUAAAUCUUAAUCAAUUCUUAUUCCUCGUUGGCAACACAUCUGCUGGGAACUGUUUCUUGUUCAACAAUGGCUCAAAAAAGAAGCAGGAGAGAAGUGAGGAAACCACCAAGUUGCAAAACAUCAGCACUUCACUCCUCUUACCUUGUAACUUCUUGGUAAGAGUGAGAAUAGACGCUUUCAUAAGAUGUAGCAAAGCUGCAAAACCACAACCAAUGAUAAAUAAUAGCCCUGCCCGAAGAGGAGAAAAUAGCAAAUUUCUACGCAGAAUUCAUAUUUUUGCUGACCAGAGCUAAAAGCUGCCUCUCAGCAGCAUGAUCACUAGCAAUCAGUUCGCUUGUGGCCUGCACGCACACACUGCAGUCACAAGAAGUCACCACUUCCAUAGUCCAGGAUGGCAAGAGGAGCAGAAACAUGAAAUUGCCUUCAGAAGUUUAUCAUUUGUUCAAUAUUGUUAUCAGUGAAUGAGCAAAUUGAACACUGGUCUACAUAACCUAAAGAAGAAAAGCAAAGUUGUGUAAGAAUUACUUAAAUCUGAAUGACCCAGAGAUUCUCCAAGAUUUAUUGUUACUAUAAUAGAUUCAAGAAGUGGCUUUACUGCUACUGGUGUAACCUCAAGUGCCAACCUUGUGAUCUGGCAACCUGGUUUCAGAGAUGGAAAACGUCCAAAAUUCUUCGCAGAAGGCCCAUAGCUUGAUAUAACUCUUGGAUCUAGGAAAAGUACAAGGCCCUUGAAGACGUAACGUUCAUAAUGAACCUUCAUGGGCCAGCGGGGCUCCAUGCUGCAACCAAGACUUGAUAAAAGCAGAUCUUGUCUGACAGAGAAAAGAGAUCCUGGAAGACGACUGCCAUCUCGAACAUAAAUGCCUCUUACUGGAGGAAGGUUACAAGACAUAUUUACCUAGGACAGAAUUAAAUUUUACUUCACUUUUUUUGAGAGAGAAGGAGUGAGACCAUUACAGACAAGGAGACCAUUACUUGAAGCUGCACAUCACUUUGCAUUAAACUAAAUAACUUAAUCAACAAACUUUCUUUAAAAAGAGGCCAAAUGCAUUUUUAAAGAUGAAAAUGCACAAGAAAAAUGUAAAGAUGGUUUUCAAAUAGUAAAAUACUUGUCAAAUUUAUUCUUUAAAAGCAAUAAACAUAUUAAGGUGUAAGAUGCAAAGGUCUGUAAAAUUAUUAGCUUCAUAUUACUCCAAAAUAAUGGCCACAAGGAUGCCUUAAAAGCGUGGUGGAUUUAACGUUAAAUUUAUUCCUGAACCUGUUGAGUUUUUUUAAUGUACGCUCUGCUCAUAGGCUUGGCUGUGUCUUCCCACCCAUCUUCUUCCAACAUUAAUCACUCCUGUUUUCUUAAACACCGAACAUGGCUGUUAGCAGAGAGCCUUCUGAAAGAUUUGCGCUUGGAACUGAGGUGAGGUGUAGAUUGUAACAAAAGGAAAAGAAGGCAGAAUGAGAUAUAGAUAGAUGGAUGGAUCGAUUGAUCUGUGUAAACUAAGUGGAGCAUGAGAACAGGGAAGAAGAAACCCACCCACUCCAGGUGAAUCCUCUUUCCACUCUGAAGAAACGGGUCACGUUUCUCCAUUCUUUACAGUCCCCUCCCAAGCCCAGCUCCUAGGGACAGGGGACGUGGGAGCCCAGGGGAAGGAGGCCCGCUGGGGUCGAGCAGCAGCAGCAGCAGCGGCCGGCCCCCGGCCCGAGCUGGCAGCAGGCAGACAAUGGGCGAGCCGCACAAUGAGCGGAGCGCAGCCUUCCAUAUUGCACGCCAGCCCAGCUACAAACAGCUCCUCCGCGGCCACCGCAAAAUCGCUCGGGGAGGGGGUGGGGCCGAGAAUCUCAUUAUCGAAAA